AUGACAACCAAUUUUGCAGAGGUGUAUAACUUUGUACUCAGAGGGAAUAGAGCAUUGCCACUCACAGCUGUUGUGGAGUCUGUAUUCCAUGGCACUCUGAGAUAUUUUCGAGAAAGGCACGAGUUAGCAAAGAAGCACAUUGCAGAUAAUCACAACACACCUUAUUGUAGUCGUGCCAUGGAAUACAUGGCAAAGAAGAUAGAGAAAGCAAAUAAGCACACUGUGAAACUCAUAGGGAAUCAAGAAAGGAGGUAUGAGGUUCAGCUUCCGACCGAUGGUUUUGGUUCUACAAAUGAGGUGAAGACACAUGAGGUAAAAAUUGGAACGGAAUUUUAUCCAACGUGUGAGUGUAUAUGCAACAAACCUAAGUUUUUGCACCUACCAUGCUCACAUGUGUUGGUUGCCUGUGACCAGAUUGAGUUGGAUGCUAUCUCCUUCGUGUCCCCAUACUAUUUAAAAGAGGCAGUACUCAAACAUGGACAGGUGAGAUGA
rnacentral:rRNA from 1 species